rnacentral:tRNA from 1 species
GGCCCCGUAACUCAGUCUGGAUAGAGUGCUAGCCUUCUAAGCUAGAAGUCGCAGGUUCAAAUCCUGCCGGGGCCG